rnacentral:lncRNA from 1 species
GUCUUUUCGAGGUAGGAGUCGACUCCUGUGAGGUAUGGUGCUGGGUGCAGAUGCAGUGUGGCUCUGGAUAGCACCUUAUGGACAGUUGUGUCCCCAAGGAAGGAUGAGAAUAGCUACUGAAGUCCUAAAGAGCAAGCCUAACUCAAGCCAUUGGCACACAGGCAUUAGACAGAAAGCUGGAAGUUGAAAUGGUGGAGUCCAACUUGCCUGGACCAGCUUAAUGGUUCUGCUCCUGGUAACGUUUUUAUCCAUGGAUGACUUGCUUGGGUAAGGACAUGAAGACAGUUCCUGUCAUACCUUUUAAAGGUAUGGAGAGUCGGCUUGACUACACUGUGUGGAGCAAGUUUUAAAGAAGCAAAGGUAUAGCAGUUCCAAGUAUUUUUUUUUUUUUUUUAGACAAGAGUCUAGCUCUUGCCCAGAAUGGAGUGCAGCGGCACUAUCAGUUCACUGCAACCUCUGCCUCCCAGGUUCAAGGAAUUCUCCUGCCUCAGCCUCUUGAGUAGCUGGGAUUACAGGCAUGUGACACCAUGCCUGGCUAAUUUUGUACAGCUAUGUUGUCCAGGCUGGUCUCGAACUCUUGACCUCAAGUGAUACUGCCCGCACUGACCUCCCAAAGUGCUGGGAUUACAGGCGUGAGCCACCAUGCCCCGCCUCAAGUCUGGUUUUUAAGUGUUGUAAAGCCGAUACAAUGAUGAUAACAUAGUUCAGCAGACUAACGCUGAUGAGCAAUAUUAAGUCUUUCGCUCCUAUCUGAUGUAUCUGGCGGUAACAUUCUAGUUUAUGCCCCGAAAAGGGGAAUAUAGCCAUUCUAUAAUGUUUGGAGAUUUUGGAUUACUCCUAAUUGUAUGCAAGUUGUCUUACUGUGUAUUGUCCCUUAAUUUCAGGACUCAGAAUUCAUGAUUGAAGAAAUGCAGGUUAGUUUAAACUUUGAAGGAAAUUUUUAAGGUGGCAAAAGGUUUUGGUGGCAUAUACACCUUAAUCUGUAGAUGGGAGUGAUUAGCUGUUUAAAAGUUAAAAUGUGACUGAGAAGGAAAUUGAGUAGGGCAAAUUUUAAAUGGGUAUUAUUUUUCAUCUUCAAACAGGCAGACCUGUUAUCCUAAACUAGGUGAGUCAGCUUUUGGUACAUGUGAUGAUUUUCAGUGUAACCAAUGAUGUAAUGAUUCUGCCAAAUGAAAUAUAAUGAUAUCACUGUAAAACCGUUCCAUUUUGAUUCUGAGGUUACUCUACUAACAAGCAUCACACAUUUGUAUUUUGCCCUGAUUAAUAUGUUGGCUUCGCUUUCAGGGUUUUUAAUGACCACAACAAGCAAGCAUGCAGCUUACUGCUUGAAAGGGUCUUGCCUCACCCAAGCUAGAGUGCAGUGGCCUUUGAAGCUUACUACAGCCUCAAACUUCUGGGCUCAAGUGAUCCUCAGCCUCCCAGUGGUCUUUGUAGACUGCCUGAUGGAGUCUCAUGGCACAAGAAGAUUAAAACAGUGUCUCCAAUUUUAAUAAAUUUUUGCAAUCCAUC